rnacentral:rRNA from 1 species
AGAAUCAACGCUGGCGGUGUGCCUAACACAUGCAAGUCGAACGAGAAAGUGGAGCAAUCCAUGAGUAAAGUGGCGCACGGGUGAGUAACACGUGACUAACCUACCCUUGAGUGGGGAAUAACUUCGGGAAACCGAGGCUAAUACCGCAUAACACCUACGGGUCAAAGGAGCAAUUCGCUUAAGGAGGGGGUCGCGGCAGAUUAGUUAGUUGGCGGGGUAAUGGCCCACCAAGACGGUGAUCUGUA